GGUUAAGUCGUUUCGGUAGC
rnacentral:miRNA from 1 species